AGGGAUGAAUGAAGCACACAAGUACUGAUGAUUGGCUGGAUUUGUUUGCAACAGCUGCAUGAGGAGUUGCCAAAUGUGUUUUCAUCUCCCUGGAUAUUUCCAUGAAAUUUGAACUGCCGUUGCUAAGGAGAUAAUCCAUUUCUGCUGAUUAGUCAUCCUCUGCUGUCAUAAGUGGCUUUACAGCAGAACUGUUCAUAUAGUCACUGGUUCUGAUGUCACAAAGACUGGGGUUCCACAACAGAGCAAGUAGAAGCUGUCUGCAGACUGAGCUCUCCUCUCUGUACUUGGUUGAACAGUUCAUUUCAAGACAAAUUAUCUACAGUUACCACUUCUUUCAGGCACCAAGUUCAAGAGCAGUGAAACCUUAGGUUCCCCUCCCAAGCCAUGGAAAAGAAAGCUUUCUGUCAGUACAGGUCAACAGAGAAGGUCCAUUCGCUAUUGUCCUGUCCAUUUUCUUCCCAGUACUUGAUUGGCAUACAAGGUCCAGAUAGCUUUCACACCUUUGAUUUAAUGAAAUUUCAGAGCCUACUCAGAUCAUCUGUCUUCAUUGGCUGCAUCUCUUAGUUUCUAAAAUAUCAGAGAAAUCAAAAACCAUAGUAACAGAACAAUUUAUUUAUGUAUUCAUAGAAACUGAAGACACAUGUCCACUUACUGUUGCAACAUUAUCUGAUAAAUUGUUAUCACCUUUUCAUUUUCUCUGUUGGUUGUAAUUGUCUACUCCUCAAAAAUUCCUGUCCAUUCCAGUCUUCACAAUGAGAUUUUCAAGUGAUUGUUCCAUUCUGGACAAAACUAGGUAGGUUAAUUUAAAUGGUCUGAAAUGUAGUCUUUGAUAACCCAGCUAUUUUGGUUUGAAAUGCAUUAGAAAGUGAUCACAGGAGCAGCUCAUCUAACAAAAUCCAUGAAACAACAGUUGUCAAGUAUAUGUAGCAAUGACAGAUAGAGCACAAUGAGCUUGAGAGCAAUAAGCUAUUUUCCAGCACACCAAUAACAAGAUGAUGCCCAAGUACAAUACAAAGUCAAACAGGCUACCUCAGAUGAACUGAUACACUAUCAUUUACAUGCAUUAGUUUGAAAAAUUUUAAAAAUGUCAAAAAAACGAUUUCUGGAUAUCUUAACAAGAUUGAAGUUUUAAGGGUAACACUCAUGUUUAGACAGGAUUUUUUAUAUAAUAAAUUUGCAAACCUUUGGAGGUGUGACUAAUUA
rnacentral:lncRNA from 1 species